AUAAUAUUUUGACAUUUUCAUGUUAGGAUGAUCUUAUGUUUCUAAAUUGUUUUUUAUAUACCUCUCGAUAAAUUUAAUGCUGAUUAGAAAUAUGCUGUGUAUGUUUGUUUUUCAGCGCAUAUCAAAUCUUGCAACAUCCCUUUUUUUGAGAUGAUUGGAAGCGAUUGCACUUCCUUGUAGAGCUCUACGGUCAACUUGAUAGAUAUGGUAAGAUGGCUUUGGAUCAGAAUCCUUGAAAAGUACUCAAAAGAGCACAUGUGGAGCACGGUGGUAUAAAAAAUAUAAAUGGGAUUGUCAUUUGAAACCGGAGAUGCUCAUGGCAGUGCAACAACUAGAGGCGGCAAAAUGUAAAAAGCAUAAGCAGAGAUCUGUUUAUGAUUUUAAGUUGCUAUCCGAUCUCCUAAGUUUUAUUUGGAACGUAUAUGUCCAUUUUAGUGAUCGACAACAAAACAUCAAGAAAUUCUUUUCCAAUUGUUGCACUGAGAUAUACAAACCAUUUGAAGAUAUAUUUCCAAAGCUCUUUAUGAAAAUGCAUGGAUUUGCCCAUCAACAAAGAUACCAUACGGAGGACCAGUUUAAGAUAUUUUUUGGCAAGGCCAUGACUUAGGUAUGUAUGGUACAUGGCAGUUUGGGAUGGUAGGUUGCAACUCUUUUAGUUAUGGACCAUGGGAAGGCUACCUCACCUCUUUUUGUAGUUGUAAGCUGGCUGGUUUGACAUUUCGUUUACUUUCAUGUACUUGAAGGCUUCACUCUUCAUUUUAUUUUUUAAUUUUGUUUAUCUACUUCAUGAUCACCAGGAUUAUAGGUUGCAUUAUGUAAGAACAAUGCUCUUUCAUAUAGACUGGUUUGAUUCUAUUUGGUUUUUGUACC